CUGAUCCACAAACUCUCCCUAAGAUAAUCAAGGGAGAUUUUACCUCAGUCUCCCUGGUUUUUCCUUCUCCAGUGCGUCUAUUGGUCAUUAGUUGCUGGACUCUCCAAGGUUAAUCAAGGCAGAAUGGCAAUCAUAUUCUCUGUGCACAUUAAGGCUGCUCCCGCGUAGGUACACGCGCGCAUGCAUAUCGAGACCUGCGAAAUACCGGACAUUUGGCUAGCGAGAGCCCCACGAUACCUGCAGGGCUAGUAUCACAGUGCAGUGAGCUAGAGCAACGGAGAUCAUGAGGCCUGACCCGCCUGAGCCCGGGGUGGCUGCUGUAAACGAACUGGGGUACUGGGUAGAUCCACUCACGAUACGUGCGAGAAGCAGUGCAGUAGACGGCAAUAUCUCAGCCAUCACACAGGAUAUAACUCUUCUUUGGAGCCAUAUGACAGACGUAUACAGCUGAAAUGGAAUUUCCCUUCAACCGUACAAUAUUUCAGGGCUUAUAUUUCAGGAAUCGGUGUUCGCCCAACGUAGCAGUUGCAGGUACAUGUAAUAAUGCUAUGUUUUAUUUUAUUUACAAUUUUACAUUUGCCGAAGUCCUUUCCCUGGAGAUUAUUCAAAGCAAAAGUAUGUUCAUUAAAUGUAUAUA